rnacentral:rRNA from 1 species
UACGGAAGGCAGCGGUGGGGAAUAUUGCACAAUGGGCGCAAGCCUGAUGCAGCCAUGCCGCGUGUAUGAAGAAGGCCUUCGGGUUGUAAAGUACUUUCAGUCGUGAGGAAGGUGUUAAGGUUAAUAACCUUAGCAAUUGACGUUAGCGACAGAAGAAGCACCGGCUAACUCCGUGCCAGCAGCCGCGGUAAUACGGAGGGUGCGAGCGUUAAUCGGAAUUACUGGGCGUAAAGGGCACGCAGGCGGUUAAUUAAGUUGGAUGUGAAAUCCCCGGGCUUAACCUGGGAAUGGCAUUCAAGACUGGUUAGCUAGAGUCUUGUAGAGGGGGUAGAAUUCCAUGUGUAGCGGUGAAAUGCGUAGAGAUGUGGAGGAAUACCGGUGGCGAAGGCGGCCCCUGGACAAAGACUGACGCUCAUGUGCGAAAGCGUGGGGAGCAAACG